rnacentral:tRNA from 1 species
GGCUCCAUCGUGUAGUGGUUAGCACGUCUGCUUUACAUGCAGAAGGUCCUGGGUUUAUGCCCCAGGUGGAGCCA